CAGCUAGUUGGUGAGGUAAUGGCUCACCAAGGCAACGAUGCGUAGCCGACCUGAGAGGGUGAUCGGCCACACUGGGACUGAGACACGGCCCAGACUCCUACGGGAGGCAGCAGUAGGGAAUCUUCCGCAAUGGACGAAAGUCUGACGGAGCAACGCCGCGUGAGUGAUGAAGGUUUUCGGAUCGUAAAACUCUGUUGUUAGGGAAGAACAAGUACGAGAGUAACUGCUCGUACCUUGACGGUACCUAACCAGAAAGCCACGGCUAACUACGUGCCAGCAGCCGCGGUAAUACGUAGGUGGCAAGCGUUGUCCGGAAUUAUUGGGCGUAAAGCGCGCGCAGGCGGUCCUUUAAGUCUGAUGUGAAAGCCCACGGCUCAACCGUGGAGGGUCAUUGGAAACUGGGGGACUUGAGUACAGAAGAGAAGAGUGGAAUUCCACGUGUAGCGGUGAAAUGCGUAGAGAUGUGGAGGAACACCAGUGGCGAAGGCGACUCUUUGGUCUGUAACUGACGCUGAGGCGCGAAAGCGUGGGGGAGCAAACAGGAUUAGA
rnacentral:rRNA from 1 species